rnacentral:rRNA from 1 species
GCUUACGGCCACACCGCCUGGUAUACGCUUGAUCUCGGAAGAUAAGGUAGGUUGGGUCUGGUUAGUACUUGGAUGGGAGACCGCCUGGGAAUACCAGGUGCUGUAAGCU